AUGAACGCUGGCGGCGUGCCUAAUACAUGCAGGUCGAGCGAACAGACGAGGAGCUUGCUCCUCUGACGUUAGCGGCGGACGGGUGAGUAACACGUGGAUAACCUACCUAUAAGACUGGGAUAACUUCGGGAAACCGGAGCUAAUACCGGAUAAUAUAUUGAACCGCAUGGUUCAAUAGUGAAAGACGGUUUUGCUGUCACUUAUAGAUGGAUCCGCGCCGCAUUAGCUAGUUGGUAAGGUAACGGCUUACCAAGGCAACGAUGCGUAGCCGACCUGAGAGGGUGAUCGGCCACACUGGAACUGAGACACGGUCCAGACUCCUACGGGAGGCAGCAGUAGGGAAUCUUCCGCAAUGGGCGAAAGCUUGACGGAGCAACGCCGCGUGAGUGAUGAAGGUCUUCGGAUCGUAAUACUCUGUUAUUAGGGAAGAACAAAUGUGUAAGUAACUAUGCACGUCUUGACGGUACCUAAUCAGAAAGCCACGGCUAACUACGUG
rnacentral:rRNA from 1 species